GUUCCGAGCCCUUAAGCGCGGGCGCGGGUCAGUGGUGGGAGUCCCUGCUCUUCCACGUAUCGGAUUCCACGUGGGAGGACUCUGUCCUUCCAGAAAGGAGGAAAUGACCAAGUUCCAGAUUUGUUGGAUUUAUUGUGAGAUAUUUCUCUGCAUACUUGAUGUGAGCAUCAUUAAGGUUAUGGUCAUUUGCUAUCACAAGCCAUCUGCAGUGAGUAAAUCUUGCGCAGGUAUCAUUUCACAAGUUUGCCUGGAAAUCUGAAGAAUAAAACCCCCAAGCUGGAAUGCUGAGUGCAUACAUUUAUGAUUUUGAUAGAUAAUUGUCAAAAUUGUCCUUCUUUGGGGUGAUACAAAUUUACACUAACAAGCAUUGUGUCUUCAGGUUUUGGGUAACAGGUGGAAAAUGGUAUCUCAGUAUAGUUAGAGUUUAUUAUAAUAUACUGCUGUUUUUUAGUUUAUCAAUAUUUUGUAUUCUGUAUUGACUUUCUUACAUCACACAUGAGGAUUUAGCUCCUUUACAUUAUUUCCCCAACAUGCCCAUCCUCCCAAGAUUUUUUUUUUUUCAAUAUUUUAUUUAUUUGUCAGAGAGAGAGAGAGCACAGGCAGGCAGCACCCUCCCAAGAUUUUAUGUCAGGGUCACAUCAGUGAUUAAUGCUUACAUUGCUUUGACCUCAUAACUCUUGUUCCUUGCAGGGUCAAGUACUGCACUAUUGAUUAUAGUUCCUUUUUUAUUUUUUUCUUUCCUAAAGCUAAUGUUUGCUUUUUAA